GACGAACGCUGGCGGCGUGCUUAACACAUGCAAGUCGAACGGAAAGGCCCUGCUUUUGUGGGGUGCUCGAGUGGCGAACGGGUGAGUAACACGUGAGUAACCUGUCCUUGACUUUGGGAUAACAUCAGGAAACUGGGGCUAAUAUCGGAUAGGAGCUCCUGCUGCACGGUGGGGGUUGGAAAGUUUCGGCGGUUGGGGAUGGACUCGAGGCUUAUCAGCUUGUUGGUGGGGUAGUGGCUUACCAAGGCUUUGACGGGUAGCCGGCCUGAGAGGGUGACCGGCCACAUUGGGACUGAGAUACGGCCCAGACUCCUACGGGAGGCAGCAGUGGAGAGUAUUGCACAAUGGGCGGAAGCGUGAUGCAGCAACGUCGCGUUCGGGAUGACGGCCUACGGGUUAUAAACCGCUUUCGCCGGUAACAUAGCGUUAUUGACGGUAAUGGGUAAAAAAGCACCGGCUAACUACGUG
rnacentral:rRNA from 1 species